rnacentral:rRNA from 1 species
CACGUAGGGGGCAAGCGUUGUCCGGAUUUAUUGGGCGUAAAGAGCGUGUAGGCGGCCAGACAGGUCAGCUGUGAAAACUCGAGCUCAACCUCGAGACGCCGAUGGAAACCCUCAGACUAGAGUCCGGAAGAGGAGAGUGGAAUUCCUGGUGUAGCGGUGAAAUGCACAGAUAUCAGGAAGAACACCCGUGGCUAAGGCGGCUCUCUAGUACGGUACUGACGCUGAGACGCGAAAGCGUGGGGAGCGAACAGG